ACCAGACUCCUACGGGAGGCAGCAGUGGGGGAUAUUGGACAAUGGGGGAAACCCUGAUCCAGCGAUGCCGCGUGAGGGAAGAAGGUUUUCGGAUUGUAAACCUCUGUGGACAGGGACGAUAAUGACGGUACCUGUCAAGAAAGCCCCGGCUAACUACGUGCCAGCAGCCGCGGUAAUACGUAGGGGGCAAGCGUUAUCCGGAUUUACUGGGUGUAAAGGGAGCGUAGACGGCGAUGCAAGCCAGAUGUGAAAGCCCGCGGCUCAACUGCGGUAGUGCAUUUGGAACUGUAUGGCUGGAGUGCAGGAGAGGCAGGCGGAAUUCCUAGUGUAGCGGUGAAAUGCGUAGAUAUUAGGAGGAACACCAGUGGCGAAGGCGGCCUGCUGGACUGUAACUGACGUUGAGGCUCGAAAGCGUGGGGAGCAAACAGGAUUAGAUACCCUGGUAAC
rnacentral:rRNA from 1 species